AGGUCUAACAGGGAUUAUGAAAUUUAUUAUACCUAAUACGUAUAAUACUUGACAUCAAUCCCAGAUGAAGUCACGGCUAAGUUCGUGCCAUCAGCCGCGGUAAUACCAGAUGUGGCAAGCGUUGGUCGGAAUCACUGGGCAUACAGGGCACGUACGUGGUGCAGAACGUUAAUUGUGAAAGCCCUCGGCUUAACCGACGAAUUGCAAGCUAAAACCGGUGCGCUAGAGUACAGAAGGGGAGAGCGGAAGUCUAGAUGUAGCGGUGGAAUGCGACGAUAUGUAGGAGAAGCCCGUGCCGGAAAGCGACUCUCUAUUCUGUUACCGACACUGAGGUGAGAGAGCGUAGCUAGCGAACGGGAUUAGAUACCCCGGUAGUCUACGCCGUAAACGAUGGGCACUAGAUGCUGGAGGCGCCGAUAGCUUCCUCCGUCGAAGCAAAUGCGCUAAGAGCCCCGCCUGGGGAAUAUGACCGCAAGGUUAAAAGUCAAAGGAAUUGACGGGGGCCCACACAAGCGGUGGAGGAUGUGGCUUAAUUCGAGGACACGCGCAGAACCUUACCGAGGUUUGACAUGCAGGUGGUAGUGAUACGAAAGUUGAACGACCCGUUCAGGGAGCCUGCACAGGUGCUGCAUGGCAGUCGACAGUUCGUGUUGUGAAAUGUUAGGUUAAGUCCUGUAACGAGCGAAACCCUUGUGCCUAUUUGCCAGCGCGUCAUGGCGGGGACUAUAGGCAGACUGCCUCGGCUAACGGGGAGGAAGUCGGGGAUGACGUCAAGUCAGCAUGGCCCUUAUGCCUCGGACU
rnacentral:rRNA from 1 species